GGAAUGGUGAACGAGGUCCCCGGCGGCCCCAUCGUUUCAGUCGUGAAUACGAAGACUAUUAUGACAAGAAGAAAAUCCCGAAGGUGCUGAGCCACGUGUUGGAAGUGUUCGACCUUCCCGAAGGCUUAAAGAGACACGAGACGGAGACCCUGUUCAAGGAUCUCACCAAGGUUGGCGGCAAGAUACGAUGGCUCCAAGAGUCGCGCUCCGGCGGUCGUCGUGGUGACGGCAAGAGCUCAGACUUGGUGUCGGACUAUAUCGUUCUCGCCGUCUUUACGACCAAGUCCGCCGCCCAGAACACGUUAAAGACAGUCAGCAGCGAACACUUCAAAUUGAGACCACCACAGAAACAGUACGAUAUCCGCCUCUUGGAACGCUCCAGUACCACAUAGAUAUGGUAUUUUUGUAGCCACACGUUGUGUAGUUCUAGCGUUCAGUCACGUGUCUGACUAGGUUGCCUCUCUCCUCAGUACUGUAGUGCUGCUUUCUACUCUACUCUGAUGUUCUCUCUGUUCGUUGGGUAAUAAACUAAUAAACAAGUUUCAUGCUGGGAGCCCACAGCCAUAACCCUCUAAGCCUCACCACGUAACGUUGUCGGUAAUAUGAUAUGUGAACGUGCACUGUUGUCGUAGUCUAGGAGAUGAACCUUUCAAUCUUGGGCCAGAGGUCAGAGUACACCAAGCUGCUGGAGUUGCACGGGGUUCCAUGAUGCACUGCACUGCUUACAGCGGCUGUGUGGUGCAUUCUGGGAUGUGGAACAUAUUAUGGAGUAGGAAGUUCUUCCUUCAGCCAAGGUGCCUUUCAGAAAUCUUAAGAAACGUCGUUCCUGCAACUUUUCUUUCAGAUUUUUGUACACAUCUCUGUUUGCUGUCUUAUGACUGUACUCCUAAUUGAUUUGCUCGUUAAGUUUCUACAAUCCUUCCACCAACCUGUCAUUAUGCUAGUUUGAAAGACGGUAU